UCUAUCUCCUCUAUCACUCUAUAUUGCUCUAAGUGCUUUAUAAUCAUGCCAGGUGUAAAGGGUGCCAAAGAUUAACAUGUUAUUUUUGUUUGUUUUUGUUGUCAGUUUGAGGAGCUGAAAAGGGCAAAGUUAAAGGACAUUAGUAUUUAUGUGUCUAAAACACGGCUGUGUGUUCAUAACCUGCCUAAGAGUGUGGAUCAACAGAAACUUCAGAAGCUGUGCCUCUCUGCUGCUGGUGGUAAAGGGGUCUGCAUUACUGAGUGUCGUGUGAUGUAUGACAAGAAGCCUAUUCGGGGUCAGGUGAUUGGCAAGUCUCUAGGAUACGGCUUUGUGGAGUUUAAAGAGCAUGAACAUGCUCUACAAGCCCUACGUCACCUCAACAACAACCCAGACAUCUUUGGACCCCAAAAGAGACCCAUAGUGGAGUUCUCUCUGGAGGAUGGA